AUUUCGAGUUGGUAGAGUAAGUAGGUCUAACAAUGGGUUUCAACGGGUAACGGGGAAUUAGGGUUCUAUUCCGGAGAGGGAGCCUGAGAAACGGGUAACACAUUCCAAGGAAGGCAGCAGGCGCGCAAAUUAACCAAUCCCGACACGGGGAGGUAGUGACAAUAAAUACUGAUACAGGGUUCUUUUGGAGUCUUGUAAUUUGGAAUGAGUACAAUUUAAAUCCUCUUAACGAGGGAACAAUUGGGAGGGCAAGUCUGGUGCCAGCAGCCGCGGUAAUUCCAGCUCCAAUAGCGUAUAUUAAAGUUGUUGCAGUUAAAAAGCUCGUAGUUGAACUUCGAACCUGGUUCGGAGUGGUCUCGCCUUACACGGUGACGUACUGCUCGAGUCGGGUUCUACCUCUUGGUGAGCCGGCGAUGCCCUUCAUCUGGGUGUCGUCGGGGAACCAGGACUUUUACCUUGAGAAAAUUAGAGUGUUCAAAGCAGGCCUUUUGGCCGAAUACAUUAGCAUGGGGUAAUAAA
rnacentral:rRNA from 1 species